rnacentral:lncRNA from 1 species
AUGAGUAACGGUCAGAAACAGAAUUUGAACCAUGAACAAGUCCGAAGGAAGGGAGUAGUUGUGACUGGAGAUCAAAGGUGGUCAGACUUCGAAAAGAAACAUUGUCCCGGGGAUAGAAGGGCCCCGGAGACCACAACCAUAGAUUCCAGGUCCCUCUUUUGACAGCUAGGCUAACUAAAGCCCAGAGAGGAAAGCGGCUUGUCCGAGGUCACACAGUAAGCAAAUCAGGGCGAGAACCCACCUUACCCACUCGCGCCGCCCAGUUGCCUCUUAUUCGAGUGGUGCCCAACACGCAGAGCCCCCGCGGACACACAUGCUCCGAGGCCCCCGAGCGCCCGCCGCCCACCGCUCCAGGCCAGCUCCCCACCUCGGAGCCGGGUUUGGGUCAACAAUUGUGCCCCCCCCCCCCCACACCCC